UGAUAGUAAGCGUUAACGAUAGGAGCGAUAUCCUUUUUUUCUUUUUCUGAAAAAAAGAUUUAGUGGAUAGCGUGUUAAAAC
rnacentral:sRNA from 1 species